CCCUUCGGGGUGGAUUAGUGGCGAACGGGUGAGUAACACGUGGGCAAUCUGCCCUUCACUCUGGGACAAGCCCUGGAAACGGGGUCUAAUACCGGAUACCACUCCUGCCCGCAUGGGUGGGGGUUGAAAGCUCCGGCGGUGAAGGAUGAGCCCGCGGCCUAUCAGCUUGUUGGUGGGGUAAUGGCCCACCAAGGCGACGACGGGUAGCCGGCCUGAGAGGGCGACCGGCCACACUGGGACUGAGACACGGCCCAGACUCCUACGGGAGGCAGCAGUGGGGAAUAUUGCACAAUGGGCGAAAGCCUGAUGCAGCGACGCCGCGUGAGGGAUGACGGCCUUCGGGUUGUAAACCUCUUUCAGCAGGGAAGAAGCGAAAGUGACGGUACCUGCAGAAGAAGCGCCGGCUAACUACGUGCCAGCAGCCGCGGUAAUACGUAGGGCGCAAGCGUUGUCCGGAAUUAUUGGGCGUAAAGAGCUCGUAGGCGGCUUGUCACGUCGGAUGUGAAAGCCCGAGGCUUAACCUCGGGUCUGCAUUCGAUACGGGCUAGCUAGAGUGUGGUAGGGGAGAUCGGAAUUCCUGGUGUAGCGGUGAAAUGCGCAGAUAUCAGGAGGAACACCGGUGGCGAAGGCGGAUCUCUGGGCCAUUACUGACGCUGAGGAGCGAAAGCGUGGGGAGCGAACAGGAUUAGAUACCCUGGUAGUCCACGCCGUAAACGUUGGGAACUAGGUGUUG
rnacentral:rRNA from 1 species